AGAACGAACGCUGGCGGCAUGCCUAAUACAUGCAAGUCGAACGAACACUUCGGUGUUAGUGGCGCACGGGUGCGUAACGCGUGGGAAUCUGCCCUUGGGUUCGGAAUAACAGUUGGAAACGACUGCUAAUACCGGAUGAUAUCGAAAGAUCAAAGAUUUAUCGCCCAGGGAUGAGCCCGCGUAGGAUUAGCUAGUUGGUGAGGUAAAGGCUCACCAAGGCGACGAUCCUUAGCUGGUCUGAGAGGAUGAUCAGCCACACUGGGACUGAGACACGGCCCAGACUCCUACGGGAGGCAGCAGUAGGGAAUAUUAGGACAAGUGGGCGACAAGCCUGAUCCAGCAAUGCCGCGUGAGUGAUGAAGGCCUUAGGGUUGUAAAGCUACUUUUACCCGAGAUGAUAA
rnacentral:rRNA from 1 species